CCCCCGCCCGGCCAGCCGCCCCGUCCGGGAGGGAGGUGGGGGGUGCCUCUGCCCGGCCGCCCCUUCUGGGAAGUGAGGAGCCCCUCUGCCCGGCCACCACCCCGUCUGGGAGGUGUACCCAGCAGCUCAUUGAGAACGGGCCAUGAUGACGAUGGCGGUUUUGUCGAAUAGAAAAGGGGGAAAUGUGGGGAAAAGAUAGAGAAAUCAGAUUGUUGCUGUGUCUGUGUAGAAAGAAGUGGACAUAGGAGACUCCAUUUUGUUCUGUACUAAGAAAAGUUCUUCUGCCUUGGGAUCCUGUUGAUCUAUGACCUUACCCCCAACCCGGUGCUCUCCGAAACAUGUGCUGUGUCCACUCAGGGUUAAAUGGAUUAAGGGCGGUGCAAGAUGUGCUUUGUUAAACAGAUGCUUGAAGGCAGCAUGCUCCUUAAGAGUCAUCACCACUCCCUAAUCUCAAGUACCCAGGGACACAAACACUGCGGAAGGCCGCAGGGUCCUCUGCCUAGGAAAAUCAGAGACCCUUGUUCACUUGUUUAUCUGCUGACCUUCCCUCCGCUAUUGUCCUAUGACCCUGCCAAAUCCCCCUCUGCGAGAAACACCCAAGAAUGAUCAAUUAAAAAAAAAAUA
rnacentral:lncRNA from 1 species